rnacentral:rRNA from 1 species
GACGAAGGGGGCUAGCGUUGUUCGGAAUUACUGGGCGUAAAGCGAGUGUAGGCGGUUGGCCAAGUCAGGUGUGAAAGCCUUGAGCUCAACUCAAGAAAUGCACUUGGUACUGGGUGGCUAGAGGACCGGAGAGGAUAGUGGAAUUCCCAGUGUAGUGGUGAAAUACGUAGAGAUUGGGAAGAACACCAGUGGCGAAGGCGGCUAUCUGGACGGUUACUGACGCUAAGACUCGAAAGCGUGGGGAGCAAACAGG